UUGCUACUCCCUCCGUUCGGAAUUACUUGUCGUGAAAAUGGAUGUAUCUAGACGUAUUUUAGUUCUAUAUACAUCCAUUCCCGAGACAAGUAAUUCCGAACGGAGGGAGUAGAUG
rfam:Triticum aestivum genome assembly, contig: Triticum_aestivum_CS42_TGACv1_scaffold_486078_6AS